rnacentral:lncRNA from 1 species
GAUUGCUGUUUGUAGUUUAACUUGGUGAUUUUGCUAAGUUAGUUAGUUAUCUAUUGUGAGCUGGUCAUGGGAGUUACUCCGUAAAUGAGUGUCCAGUGAAACUCUAAUCAUGUUACCAAGCAUUCAUCCUCAUCUAGUAUGCACACAUGUCUCACUUAUCGUGCAUGCAAUAGGUGCACCGGAAACGACAGCUUCAUUCGAGCUCAACCUGGUGAACCCCAAAGGCCAGGAGAUCAAUCCGGAAGCGGAGGUCCAGCCAGCCGGACACGAGGAGCCCGAAGAGGAGGUCGAGUGCCCGAAUCACGAGCCAGCCUCGUUCGUGAAAGGCAAGCCCC